GCAAAUCAGACUUAAAAGAACCCAUGUUAUCAGAAGCAAAAAUCACAAAAAAGCUCUAAGGUCCGUUAGGGUUUUUUAACCGCAAAUAAAUUGUGGGGCUUAAUGAAAAGAGACAACGGGAGAAAACAUACAAAUAUCUAUCUGUUUAGUCCAAGACUAAUAAUUAUAAGCAUGAAUAAUAAAUAUAUGAACAAAGAAAUCGAAAAAGAAAAA
rnacentral:misc_RNA from 1 species